CUUGGAUUGAAAGUCAGAAUUUUUAGAUGGUUUAAUCCAUGAAUGUGUAAAUAUUUGUUUUAGAAUAUGCUCACAUUUUUGUUUUGUUUUGUUUUACUGUCUUUUACCUAACUUCUCUUUAACAUCUUAAUUACUUUUUUUUUAUUAUUGAGGCAACAAAUUCCUACCUCCUUAGUUCCUGCCCCACAACAACCCAGGGCCCAGAACAUAAACAAAGACGCAUUUGGAGGCUCCUGCAGAGAGACCUAUAUCCAAGAUCAGCAGUUCCUGCAAUUUGCUAUUUCCUCCUCCCUCUUCUCCCCAGAAGCCGUCUUAUAUGUCCACGAUGCAUGGGACCUCAUUAAGAAAUACUGUGUACCUGUACCAGCUCCCCG
rnacentral:lncRNA from 1 species